GUGACCAGCUCCUCCUUCUCUCAUUAAAGCAACUCAGUGUGACUUCAGGAAAAUGACUCAACUUUUCUGCCUUUAGUUUUCUCAUCUCUCAGAUGAAGUGGCUAGAUUAAGUUAGUGGUUCUGAAAUAAACAGUUAUGAAAACUGUUCUUCCAACUUCACAUUUCUGCAGAGGUUUUUUUUUGUUUUUUUUUUUUGAUACGGAGUCUUGCUCUGUUGUCCAGGCUGGAGUGCAGUGGCACAAUCUCGGCUCACUGCAACCUCUG
rnacentral:lncRNA from 1 species